ACACGACUACAUUAGAUACCCGUGUAGUCCCAGCCCUAAACGAUGCGCGUUAGGUGUAUCGGUGACCACGAGUCACCGAGGUGCCGAAGGGAAACCGUGAAACGUGCCGCCUGGGAAGUACGGUCGCAAGGCUGAAACUUAAAGGAAUUGGCGGGGAGCACCACAACGGGUGGAGCCUGCGGUUUAAUUGGACUCAACGCCGGGAAGCUUACCGGAUAAGACAGCGGAAUGAUUGCCGGGCUGAAGACCCUGCAUGACCAGCUG
rnacentral:rRNA from 1 species